rnacentral:rRNA from 1 species
ACUCCUACGGGAGGCAGCAGUGAGGAAUAUUGGUCAAUGGGCGAAAGCCUGAACCAGCCAUGUCGCGUGCAGGACGACUGCCCUAUGGGUUGUAACUGCUUUUAUAUGGGAAGAAAUGCGAGUACGUGUACUUGUUUUGCCGGUACCAUAUGAAUAAGCAUCGGCUAACUCCGUGCCAGCAGCCGCGGUAAUACGGAGGAUGCGAGCGUUAUCCGGAUUCAUUGGGUUUUAAAGGGUGCGUAGGCGGAAGUGUAAGUCAGGGGUGAAAGUUUGCAGCUCAACUGUAAAAUUGCCUUUGAUACUGCAUUUCUUGAGUACAUUUGAGGUAGGCGGAAUGUGUUGUGUAGCGGUGAAAUGCUUAGAUAUAACACAGAACACCGAUUGCGAAGGCAGCUUACUAAACUGUAACUGACGCUGAUGCACGAAAGCG